rnacentral:rRNA from 1 species
UACGUAGGGUGCAAGCGUUGUCCGGAAUUAUUGGGCGUAAAGAGCGUGUAGGCGGCUUGGUAGGUCCGCUGUGAAAACUCGAGGCUCAACCUCGAGAUGUCGGCGGAAACCGCUUGGCUAGAGUCCGGAAGAGGAGAGUGGAAUUCCUGGUGUAGCGGUGAAAUGCGCAGAUAUCAGGAAGAACACCUAUGGCGAAGGCAGCUCUCUGGGACGGUACUGACGCUGAGACGCGAAAGCGUGGGGAGCGAACAGG